UUCCAGGGCCAGGCUAGUCCGCCCUGGGUGAGUCGGGACCUAAGGCGAGGCCGACAGGCGUAGUCGAUGGAUGACGGGUUGAUAUUCCCGUACCGGCGAAGCACCGCCCAUGCUGACGCGCGGGUGCUAACCCACGCCCGGCCGCCGUGUAGGCCGCGCCUACUCCUUUCGGGGGGUGGUGUGGUUGUGGUGGUGGGGUCUGGGGAUCCUCCGUGCAGGUAGGCAAGCGUGUUAACAGGGGUGACGCACAGUGGUAGCCCGGCGGACCUGAUGGCUUGGUCCGUUCAAGCGCGCAGCCCGUCCUCCAGGUAAAUCCGGGGUGACUGUCUUUGAUGACGGGGGUGAGGCGUGAUGGUGACCUCACGUUGGUGGGGGAUAGCAGGGUGAUCCUGGGGUGCCGAGAAAAGCCUCGACGCGAUGGUGCCAGCCGCCCGUACCCUAAACCGACACAGGUGGUCGGGCAGAGUAUGCCUAGGCGCACGAGUGAAUCAUGGUUAAGGAACUCGGCAAAAUGCCCCCGUAACUUCGGGAGAAGGGGGGCCCGAUCCCUUGAAGCCCCGUGGCGGGCUAGGGGGGUGGGUCGCAGAGGCCAGGGGGAAGCGACUGUUUACUAAAAACACAGGUCCGUGCGAAGCCGUAAGGCGAUGUAUACGGACUGACGCCUGCCCGGUGCUGGAAGGUUAAGAGGAACCAUCAACCCUCGGGUGAAGUGGUGAAUUUAAGCCCCAGUAAACGGCGGUGGUAACUAUAACCAUCCUAAGGUAGCGAAAUUCCUUGUCGGGUAAGUUCCGACCUGCACGAAUGGCGUAACGACUUCCCCGCUGUCUCAACCAUGAGCUCGGCGAAAUUGCAGUACGAGUAAAGAUGCUCGUUUCGCGCAGAAGGACGGAAAGACCCCGGGACCUUUACUACAGCUUGGUAUUGGCGCCCGCUAUAGCUUGUGCAGGAUAGGUGGGAGACUGUGAAGCCGUUACGCCAGUAGCGGUGGAGUCGUCCUUGAAAUACCACUCUGGUUAUGGCGUGCGCCUGAACCUGGGCCCGUGAUCCGGGUUAGGGACAGUGCCUGGUGGGUAGUUUAACUGGGGCGGUUGCCUCCUAAAGUGUAACGGAGGCGCUCAAAGGUUCCCUCAGCCUGGUCGGCAACCAGGUGUUGAGUGCAAGUGCACAAGGGAGCUUGACUGUGAGACCGACGGGUCGAGCAGGUACGAAAGUAGGAACUAGUGAUCCGGCGAUCCCGUGUGGGUGGGUCGUCGCUCAACGGAUAAAAGGUACCCCGGGGAUAACAGGCUGAUCCUGCCCAAGAGUCCAUAUCGACGGCAUGGUUUGGCACCUCGAUGUCGGCUCGUCGCAUCCUGGGGCUGGAGCAGGUCCCAAGGGUUGGGCUGUUCGCCCAUUAAAGCGGUACGCGAGCUGGGUUUAGAACGUCGUGAGACAGUUCGGUCCCUAUCCUCUGCGCGCGCAGGAGACUUGAGAAGACCUGUCCCUAGUACGAGAGGACCGGGACGGACGAACCUCUGGUAUGCCAGUUGUUCCGCCAGGAGCACGGCUGGUUAGCUACGUCCGGACAUGGAUAACCGCUGAAAGCAUCUAAGCGGGAAACCAUCUUCAAGACCAGGUCUCCACCACCCCCUCCUUUCUUUUUCGCUAUAGUGAAUAGAGGGGAGGGGUGGGAAGGCCCCCAGAUGAUGACUGGGUUGAUAGGCCGGAGGUGGACACCCAGUAACGGGCACCAAGCCGACCGGUACUAACACGGCCGAUCACACACAAGA
rnacentral:rRNA from 1 species